GUUCAAUAAGUAAAUUCAUUUUAAGGUUUAACGUAUGCCUUGAAGUGUUUACAUAUAUAUAUAUAUAUAUAUAUAUAUAUAUGUAAAGAUUUAUUUGCGAAUAUAAAUAUUAUUUACCUGCGAAUAUUGAUAGCAUGUUAUUGUUUGUUAUUUUUUCAGAAAAUUAUUUAAUUAAUUAUUUGAAAAAAUUGCAAAUGAUAUUAUGUUAAUAUAACAAUUAGUAGGAGUGUAACAUAUAAUAUAUAUUAGUAGUAGUAAAGAAAAUUCGGUAAUGAUGGUAUAAUUUCUUAUAGUUUGUAAUACAUACGACUUAAGAAUAGAAGAGUAAAAAGAUUUAUGAUAGUUUUUGUGUUUUAAUGAGAACAUAUCAUAUAAUAUAUAGUCCACUAUUAUUAUAUUUUUAUUGAAUAUAAAUAGUAGGAUAGCUGUUCUGACCACAUUUAAAAUAGUUUAUUAUAAAAUUGAACAUUGCAUUAGAAAAGGAGAACCUUUGUUUAUUUUCCUUUUGCAUAUAUAUUACCUAUACAUUUGUUAUGGUAUAUACGUCAUGUAGUUUUAACUACGGGGAGGGUUAAGUACCCAGAAAAAUUAUAUUUGUGAGCAUAUUAUAUACAU